UCGCGUCUUGCGACGGCAGUUUCACUAGAGUUCCCAGCAUUACCUGAUGGCAACUAGUGAUGGGGGUUGAGCUCGUUGCGGGACUUAACCCAACAUCUCACGACACGAGCUAACGACAGCCAUGCAGCACCUGUGUUCAGGUUCCCUUUCGGGCACCUCUGCAUUUCUGCAGAGUUCCUGACAUGUCAAGGGUAGGUAAGGUUUUUCGCGUUGCAUCGAAUUAAUCCACAUAAUCCACCGCUUGUGCGGGUCCCCGUCAAUUCCUUUGAGUUUCAGUCUUGCGACCGUACUCCCCAGGCGGCGAACUUAACGCGUUAGCUUCGAUACUGCGUGCCAAAUUGCACCCAACAUCCAGUUCGCAUCGUUUAGGGCGUGGACUAC
rnacentral:misc_RNA from 1 species